AGAACGAACGUUAGCGGUGUGGAUUAGGCAUGCAAGUCGAGCGAGCGGCGAACGGGUGAGUAACACGUAACAACCUACCCCUAGACUGGGAUAACCACUGGAAACGGUGGGUAAUACCGGAUGGGAGGGGAUUGCGGGCUAUUAGCUAGUUGGUGGGGUAAUGGCCUACCAAGGCGAUGAUGGCUAGCGGGUCUGAGAGGACGACCCGUCACACUGGGACUGAGAUACUGCCCAGACUCCUACGGGAGGCUGCAGUCGAGAAUCUUCCGCAAUGGGCGAAAGCCUGACGGAGCGACACCGCGUGCAGGAUGAAGGCCUUCGGGUUGUAAACUGCUGUCACGCAAUAUGACUAACGCGAGAGGAAGCACCGGCUAACUCCGUGCCAGCAGCCGCGGUAAGACGGAGGGUGCGAACGUUGUUCGGAAUUACUGGGCAUAAAGAGCACGUAGGCGGUUCGCUAAGUUGGGUGUGAAAGCCCCCGGCUCAACCGGGGAAUUGCUCCCGAUACUGGCGGACUAGAGAUCGGUAGGGGUGAGUGGAACUCCAGGUGGAGCGGUGAAAUGCGUAGAUAUCUGGAGGAACACCGGUGGCGAAAGCGGCUCACUGGACCGACACUGACGCUGAGGUGCGAAAGCUAGGGUAGCGAACGGGAUUAGAUACCCCGGUAGUCCUAGCCGUAAACGAUGGGCACUAGACAGGGCUGUCGUAGCUAAUGUAUUAAGUGCCCCGCC
rnacentral:rRNA from 1 species